rnacentral:rRNA from 1 species
UUGAAGAGGGGCCCGCGUCUGAUUAGCUAGUUGGUGAGGUAACGGCCCACCAAGGCGACGAUCAGUAUCCGGCCUGAGAGGGCGGACGGACACACUGGGACUGAGACACGGCCCAGACUCCUACGGGAGGCAGCAGUGGGGAAUUGUUCGCAAUGGGCGCAAGCCUGACGACGCAACGCCGCGUGGAGGAUGAAGGUC